ensembl:lncRNA WDFY3-AS2 WDFY3 antisense RNA 2
AUAACAUCGCUGUAAUCACAAACUUGUUUUUCCUAACACUGCAAUCUACAGAAGUUUCAGGAUUUCCUCUAAUAAACAUAAGGACCAGAUGGAAAGAAACUGGGCAAGCCAAUGAAAGUCUCUGGGGAUCAUGGGAAUUGAGUGUCUAUGAAAACCAUAUUCCAGACAAGAAUAUAGUCUAAGGACACAGCAAGAGGCAACAUUUUGGAAGCAGAGGGCAACUCUCACUGGAAACCAAAUCUCCUGGCACCUUGAUCUUGGAUUUUACAGCCUCCAGAACUGAUAGCUGGGAGGCAUUACAUAGUCAUGUGCGAGGUCAAAACUGAGUCACCACCACAACCAAGUUCCAGCUGGCAAGAAGAGGAAAAAUAACACAGAGGAGUUAUGACCAGUGUUGUAAGGAUCUGGCCUAGAAAUGGCAUGCAUCUCUUCCACUAAUAUCCUAUUGGUAAAAAUGUAGUCACAUGGGCACACCACCUAUCUGCAUGGAAGGCUGGGAAAUGUUGAUCGGUAGGGCAGCCAUAUGUGUAGGAAGGAGAAAAC